rnacentral:rRNA from 1 species
GCGGCGUGCUUACACAUGCAAGUCGAACGGAAAGGCCCCUUCGGGGGUAUUCGAGUGGCGAACGGGUGAGUAACACGUGGGUGACCUGCCCUGCACUUCGGGAUAAGCCUGGGAAACUGGGUCUAAUACCGGAUAGGACCGCAUCGUGAGGAUGUGGUGGAAAGUUUUUUCGGUGCAGGAUGGGCCCGCGGCCUAUCAGCUUGUUGGUGGGGUAAUGGCCUACCAAGGCGGCGACGGGUAGCCGGCCUGAGAGGGUGGACGGCCACAUUGGGACUGAGACACGGCCCAGACUCCUACGGGAGGCAGCAGUGGGGAAUAUUGCACAAUGGGCGCAAGCCUGAUGCAGCGACGCCGCGUGGGGGAUGAAGGCCUUCGGGUUGUAAACUCCUUUCAUCAUCGACGAAGGGCUCACUUGUUGUGGGUUUGACGGUAGGUGGAGAAGAAGCACCGGCUAACUACGUGCCAGCAGCCGCGGUAAUACGUAGGGUGCGAGCGUUGUCCGGAAUUACUGGGCGUAAAGAGCUCGUAGGUGGUUUGUCGCGUCGUCUGUGAAAUUCCGGGGCUUAACUCCGGGCGUGCAGGCGAUACGGGCAUAACUUGAGUGCUGUAGGGAAACUGGAAUUCCUGUGUA